GGCGUUGUGGCGGAGUGGUUAUCGCGACAGACUAGAAAUCUGUUUCCUUCGGGAGCACAAGUUCGAAUCUUGUCAACGUCG
rfam:Diplodia seriata DS_831_scaffold_v01_59, whole genome shotgun sequence.